UACGUAGGGUGCAAGCGUUAUCCGGAAUUAUUGGGCGUAAAGAGCUCGUAGGCGGUUUGUCGCGUCUGCUGUGAAAACUGGAGGCUCAACCUCCAGCCUGCAGUGGGUACGGGCAAACUAGAGUGCGGUAGGGGAGAUUGGAAUUCCUGGUGUAGCGGUGGAAUGCGCAGAUAUCAGGAGGAACACCGAGUGCGAAGGCGGGAUCCUGGGCCAGUACUGACGCUGAGGAGCGAAACGUGGGGAGCAAACAGG
rnacentral:rRNA from 1 species